GACGAACGCUGGCGGCGUGCCUAAUACAUGCAAGUAGAACGCAGUUGCGAACGGGUGAGUAACGCGUAGGUCACUGCCUGGUAGGGGGGGAUAACUAUUGGAAACGAUAGCUACUACCGCAUACUACAAGAUGGACCUGCGUUGUAUUAGCUAGUUGGUGGGGUAACGGCUCAACAAGGCAACGAUACAUAGCCGGACUGAGAGGGUGAUUGGCCAAAAGGGGACUGGGAAAAGGGCCAAAAUCCGUCCGGAGGGAGGAGGAGGGAAAUGUGGGAAAUGGACGGAAGUCUUACUGAGCAACGCCGCGGGAGUGAAGAAGGUUUUCCGAUCUGAAAGCUCUGUUGUAAGGUAAGCGGUAUCUUACCAGAAAGGGACGGCUAACUACGUGCCAGCAGCCGCGGUAAUAC
rnacentral:rRNA from 1 species